rnacentral:rRNA from 1 species
GUGAAUACGUUCCCGGGCCUUGUACACACCGCCCGUCACACCACGGGAGUCGGUCGCGCCUGAAGCCGGUGGCCUAUCAGUAAUGGGGGAGCCGUCUAUGGCGAGAUUGGUAACUGGGGUGAAGUCGUAACAAGGUAUC